rnacentral:lncRNA from 1 species
UUUCCCAUGGUAUGCAGAGGGAGGUGUGACACAGAAGCACAGGAGAAGAACCAUCAGAGACACAAGCAGUGACUAGGCUUACAUUGUCACAAGCAAAGGAACACCUGGGACCCGAAGAGCAGAAGUUUCUCCCCGGACCCUCUGAAUGGGCAGAAGGACUGCAGACCACUUACUUUUGAACGUCUUGCUUGCAGAACCGUAAAUAACCACUCAUAAGCUUGGGUUGUGAAAUUCUCAGAGGCAAGCUCAUCACCAGAUGUGGCCCACAGAGAGAAGAGCCCCAGCCUGGCUCUGAGUCCACAUGCAAGGAAGGGCGACCAUGCCCAGAAGAGGAGACGAAUCUCCAUUGUGACGUUGCUAGAAGAUGCUUGGUGGGACAAUGUAGAAGGUUUCCUCCCUGGUUUCAGAGCAGGCUGCUGCAGGGAUGCCAUGGAGGACGGCAGAGAGGACUGAGGCCUUCAGCUCCCCUGAAGCAACAUUUACUUGACAUUGUAAACCGAGGGAUGCACACUGGGGAUGGGACUCUGACCCUCUGUGAGAACAGCCCAGGAACUGUGUGUUGCAUUGCGGAAACCCUCUGAAGGGUCAGCACUGUCGAAACAAAACAAAGUCAAAAUGAAGACCCCAGGCACCCAGUUUAAUGCAAGCUGGAGUUCAGAUGUUGUCUCAGAUAUGAUUCUUAUUCAGCCAGUCAGUAUGUGUUUCCUGAAAUCUCACUGGUGUCACAGAGAGACAGCAGAGUGAUAUGCGUUGGCGGCCGGAUGACUUGAAAUGGCACUGCAAACACAAGAUGAUUUUACUUACGAAAUAUGGAGUUUUCAUAAAAUAGUUUGGGAUGAAGGAGACGGAGAAAAAGAACAAUGGGAAACCCCAGAAGACAAAACCUUUAAAAGUUCUUACGUGCUUGGUAUGCCUCUCCCUACUAAAUGUAAAAGAAAUCCCCCCAAAUAAAUAGUUUAAGAAAGUUUUGUAAACAGCAACUUAAUAAAAUUUACCCUAAUAAAGCUUUAUCAUCUGGUUUCAA